UACGGAGGGUGCGAGCGUUGUCCGGAAUCACUGGGCGUAAAGGCUCGUAGGCGGCCAACUAAGUCAGACGUGAAAUCCCUCGGCUUAACCGGGGAACUGCGUCUGAUACUGGAUGGCUAGAGUUUGGGAGAGGGAUGCGGAAUUCCAGGUGUAGCGGUGAAAUGCGCAGAUAUCAGGAGGAACACCGAUGGCGAAGGCAGGUCUCUGGGCCACUACUGACGCUGAGAAGCGAAAGCAUGGGGAGCGAACAGG
rnacentral:rRNA from 1 species